rnacentral:rRNA from 1 species
UACGAAGGGGGCUAGCGUUGUUCGGAAUUACUGGGCGUAUAGCGCGCGCAGGCGGUCCUUCAAGUCAGAGGUGAAAGCCCAGAGCUCAACUCUGGAAUGGCCUUUGAGACUAGAGGACUUGGGUACGGGAGAGGUGAGUGGAAUUCCGAGUGUAGAGGUGAAAUUCGUAGAUAUUCGGAAGAACACCAGUGGCGAAGGCGGCUCACUGGCCCGUUACUGACGCUGAGGCACGAAAGCGUGGGGAGCAAACAGG